CACGGGGGGAGCGAGCGUUGUUCGGAAUCACUGGGCGUAAAGGGCGUGUAGGCGGCUCGGUAAGUGGGAUGUGAAAUCCCCCGGCUUACCCGGGGAACGGCAUCCCAAACUGCUGGGCUUGAGUGUGGGAGAGGAUGAGGGAAUUCCUGGUGUAGCGGUGAAAUGCGUAGAUAUCAGGAGGAACACCGGUGGCGAAGGCGCUCAUCUGGCCCAUUACUGACGCUGAGGCGCGAAAGCUAGGGGAGCAAACGGGAUUAGAAACCCCCGUAGUCC
rnacentral:rRNA from 1 species